UAGAAUGCUCAAAAACCUUUUUCCAUUGGUUAGUGAACGAUUAUCUAUCCACCUCCAUCCUUUGUAGUCACCGAAAAGAAAAAUGUGCUUGUAGUUCAGUAUAGGCUUAACCUUGUACAUCUGAACUUGCAGUUCCCUCCUCAAGUCAAGGGUCACAGCUCAUGGAAGGAUUGGUGCAAUAGUUGCCGUAUACUCUGCUGCAAUCUUGGAAUACCUGACUGCAAAAGUUUUGGAGCUGGCAGGUAAUGCAAGCGAAGAUCUGAAGGUUAAGCGCAUAACAUCGAGGCAUCUACAGCUUGCAAUUCGUGGGGAUGAAGAACUUGAUACUCUUAUAAAAGGAACAAUAACCGGUGGUGGUGUUAUUCCUCACAUUCACAAAUCGCACAUCAACAAAUCCUCGAAGGAUUGAAAGCAUAGCGUGGUCAUAUAUCGUCAACUAACUUACUUAGAAUGAGAGUAGUGUGUACAUUUUGUGACAUCUUGUCAGUGGAUAUCGGUCCUUUUGUAGGGUUUGCAGCCACUUCUGCAGGUGUAUAUAACAGAGAUUUUUAUUUAUUUAUUUUUCAUAGUUCUCCUAACGCUACGAAAAGGUAUUCACUGUUAAUUGGAUCUAAAUUCUAAUCAGUUGUCAAGAUUGUGGACAGUUUUUUCUUAAAGCGGAGACUGGAAUUAGUCACUAUUCAAUGAUCGGAAACUAUUCCCCUACGAACUUGUAAAGAUUUUCUUUAAUUUUCCUCUCUUUGCUUAAGCAGCGGUGGAAUUGGUGAGCAUAUGUGCAAAGCUUA